rnacentral:rRNA from 1 species
CCCUACGGGAGGCAGCAGUGGGGAAUAUUGGACAAUGGGCGAAAGCCUGAUCCAGCCAUGCCGCGUGUGUGAAGAAGGCCUUCGGGUUGUAAAGCACUUUCAGUGGGGAAGAAAGCCUUGGGGCUAAUACCCUCGAGGAAGGACAUCACCCACAGAAGAAGCACCGGCUAACUCCGUGCCAGCAGCCGCGGUAAUACGGAGGGUGCGAGCGUUAAUCGGAAUUACUGGGCGUAAAGCGCGCGUAGGCGGUCUGAUAAGCCGGUUGUGAAAGCCCCGGGCUCAACCUGGGAACGGCAUCCGGAACUGUCAGGCUAGAGUGCAGGAGAGGAAGGUAGAAUUCCCGGUGUAGCGGUGAAAUGCGUAGAGAUCGGGAGGAAUACCAGUGGCGAAGGCGGCCUUCUGGACUGACACUGACGCUGAGGUGCGAAAGCGUGGGUAGCAAACAGGAUUAGAUACCCGAGUAGUC